GGCAUAAUAACAACAUAACCGUCAUCAACCAUCGUUUUCUCAGACGAAGAACACAAUGACGGUACCUGAGGAAUCAGCAUCGGCUAACUCCGUGCCAGCAGCCGCGGUAAUACGGAGGAUGCAAGCGUUAUCCGGAAUGAUUGGGCGUAAAGCGUCCGCAGGUGGCUGUGUAAGUCUGCUGUCAAAGAGCGAAGCUCAACUUCGUAAAGGCAGUGGAAACUACACGGCUAGAGUGCGUUCGGGGCAGAGGGAAUUCCUGGUGUAGCGGUGAAAUGCGUAGAGAUCAGGAAGAACACCGGUGGCGAAGGCGCUCUGCUAGGCCGCAACUGACACUGAGGGACGAAAGCUAGGGGAGCGAAUGGGAUUAGAUACCCCAGUAGUCA
rnacentral:rRNA from 1 species